rnacentral:rRNA from 1 species
AACGCGAAGAACCUUACCUGGGCUCGAAGCGCAGUGGAAUCCGGUAGAAAUAUCGGCGCCCCUUAAAAGGCCGCUGCGGAGGUGCUGCAUGGCUGUCGUCAGCUCGUGUCGUGAGAUGUUGGGUUAAGUCCCGCAACGAGCGCAACCCUUAUCCCUAGUUGCCAUCAGGUCAAGCUGGGCACUCUAGUGAAACUGCCUCGGAUAACGAGGAGGAAGGUGGGGAUGACGUCAAGUCCUCAUGGCCUUUAUGUCCAGGGCUACACACGUGCUACAAUGGUCGGUACAAACCGUCGCAAACCCGUGAGGGGGAGCUAAUCGGAAAAAGCCGGCCUCAGUUCGGAUUGGAGUCUGCAACUCGACUCCAUGAAGCUGGAAUCGCUAGUAAUCGCGGAUCAGAACGCCGCGGUGAAUACGUUCCCGGGCCUUGUA